rnacentral:rRNA from 1 species
UACGUAGGGUGCGAGCGUUAAUCGGAAUUACUGGGCGUAAAGCGUGCGCAGGCGGUUCGCUGUGUCCGAUGUGAAAGCCCCGGGCUUAACCUGGGAAUGGCAUUGGAAACUGGCGGGCUUGAGUGCGGCAGAGGGGGGUGGAAUUCCGCGUGUAGCAGUGAAAUGCGUAGAGAUGCGGAGGAACACCGAUGGCGAAGGCAGCCCCCUGGGUCGACACUGACACUGAGAGACGAAAGCUAGGGGAGCAAAUGGG